UACGUAGGGGGCAAGCGUUGUCCGGAUUUAUUGGGCGUAAAGAGCGUGUAGGCGGUCAGGUAGGUCCGUUGUGAAAACUCGAGGCUCAACCUCGAGACGCCGAUGGAAACCAUCUGACUAGAGUCCGGAAGAGGAGAGUGGAAUUCCUGGUGUAGCGGUGAAAUGCGCAGAUAUCAGGAAGAACACCCGUGGCUAAGGCGGCUCUCUGGCCUGCAACUGACGCUGAGGUGCGAAAGCGUGGGGAGCGAACGGG
rnacentral:rRNA from 1 species